CCUACGGGGGGCAGCAGUGAGGAAUAUUGGUCAAUGGACGAGAGUCUGAACCAGCCAAGUAGCGUGAAGGAUGACUGCCCUAUGGGUUGUAAACUUCUUUUAUAUGGGAAUAAAAUGUUCCACGUGUGGGAUUUUGUAUGUACCAUAUGAAUAAGGAUUGGCUAACUCCGUGCCAGCAGCCGCGGUAAUACGGAGGAUCCGAGCGUUAUCCGGAUUUAUUGGGUUUAAAGGGAGCGUAGGUGGAUUGUUAAGUCAGUUGUGAAAGUUUGCGGCUCAACCGUAAAAUUGCAGUUGAAACUGGCAGUCUUGAGUACAGUAGAGGUGGGCGGAAUUCGUGGUGUAGCGGUGAAAUGCUUAGAUAUCACGAAGAACUCCGAUUGCGAAGGCAGUUCACUGGACUGCAACUGACACUGAGGCUCGAAAGUGUGGGUAUCAAACAGGAUUAGAUACCCCUGUAGUC
rnacentral:rRNA from 1 species